rnacentral:rRNA from 1 species
GUUGGCCUAGUCUAAGUUCCUUGGAACAGGACGUCAUAGAGGGUGAGAAUCCCGUAUGUGAUUAGUGCCUUCUCCCGUGUAAAGCUCUUUCGACGAGUCGAGUUGUUUGGGAAUGCAGCUCAAAAUGGGUGGUAAAUUUCAUCUAAAGCUAAAUAUUGGCCAGAGACCGAUAGCGCACAAGUAGAGUGAUCGAAAGAUGAAAAGCACUUUGGAAAGAGAGUUAAACAGUACGUGAAAUUGUUGAAAGGGAAGCGCUUGCAACCAGACUUGCAGGCGGUCGAUCAUCCGAGGUUCUCCCCGGUGCACUCGAUCGUCUUCAGGCCAGCAUCGGUUUCGGUGGCGGGAUAAAGGCUCUAGGAAUGUGGCUCUUCGGAGUGUUAUAGCCUAGGGUGCAAUGCCGCCUACCGGGACCGAGGACCGCGCUUCGGCUAGGAUGCUGGCGUAAUGGUUGUAAGCGGCCCGUCUUGAAACACGGACCAAGGAGUCUAACAUCUAUGCGAGUGUUUGGGUGUCAAACCCAUACGCGUAAUGAAAGUGAACGGAGGUGAGAGCCCUUUAGGGCGCAUCAUCGACCGAUCCUGAUGUCUUCGGAUGGAUUUGAGUAAGAGCAUAGCUGUUGGGACCCGAAAGAUGGUGAACUAUGCGUGAAUAGGGUGAAGCCAGAGGAAACUCUGGUGGAGGCUCGCAGCGGUUCUGACGUGCAAAUCGAUCGUCAAAUUUGCGUAUAGGGGCGAAAGA